CUAAUGGCUGCUCAGUGUUUGAAUUGCUUUGGGAGUCCAGAGAACUCUUGCCAGAUGAAAGACCUUCAUGUUCUGAUGGAUCCUUGUUUGGCUUGUUGAGAGUGGCAUCACUUUCAGGUUCUGUCGUCUUCUCAUGAGUUACUUCACUCCCUGUCAUGUCUGCAGCAACAUCAUCACUUUGAUAUGGCUUCUCAACAGCCUCUUUAUUUUGCAGUGGCUGCUCAGACGGUUCACUGGUUUGAACUGGCUCCUCUGCAAUAUCUUCUAUCAAUGGCUUAUUGGCGAUCAAAGUGCUUGGAUGUGGCUUCUUGACAGCCAUGGCACUUUCCAAUAUGUUCUCAGUCACCAACUCUCUCUCCAAGAUCUUCUGAUGGGCUGUAUCACUUUGAGGUGACUUCAAUACACUUUCUACCUUCUCAGUGAUAAUACUUUGAGGUAUCUUCUCAGCAGCGGUGUCACUCGGUGAUAACUUCUCGGUUUUAACAACACUUUCUGAUGACUUAGGGAGCUCAGGGACUUGACUUGGUGUCAUGGUAGGUAUGUCAGUUUCCAAUGGUUUUUCUGAGGAAACAUCACGUUGCAAUAUACUCGUAGGAAGUGAUGGCGCUUCAGCUGUCUCACUUGUUGGUGGCUUCUCGGAAGUAUCACCAUUGU
rnacentral:lncRNA from 1 species